GCGGCAACAGCUCAAAUUUGAAAUCUGGCCUUCGGGUCCGAGUUGUAAUUUGUAGAGGAUGCUUUUGGUGCGGUGCCUUCCGAGUUCCCUGGAACGGGACGCCAUAGAGGGUGAGAGCCCCGUCUGGUUGGACACCAAUCCUCUGUAAAGCUCCUUCGACGAGUCGAGUAGUUUGGGAAUGCUGCUCUAAAUGGGAGGUAUAUGUCUUCUAAAGCUAAAUACCGGCCAGAGACCGAUAGCGCACAAGUAGAGUGAUCGAAAGAUGAAAAGCACUUUGAAAAGAGGGUUAAAUAGUACGUGAAAUUGUUGAAAGGGAAGCGCUUAUGACCAGACUUGAGCCCGGUUAAUCAUCCAGCCUUCUGGCUGGUGCACUUGGCCGGCUCAGGCCAGCAUCAGUUCGGCGCGGGGGAUAAAGGCUUCGGGAAUGUGGCUCCUCCGGGAGUGUUAUAGCCCGUUGUGUAAUACCCUGUACUGGACUGAGGUUCGCGCAUCUGCAAGGAUGCUGGCGUAAUGGUCAUCAGCGACCCGUCUUGAAACACGGACCAAGGAGUCGUCUUCGUAUGCGAGUGUUCGGGUGUCAAACCCCUACGCGUAAUGAAAGUGAACGCAGGUGAGAGCUUCGGCGCAUCAUCGACCGAUCCUGAUGUUCUCGGAUGGAUUUGAGUAAGAGCAUACGGAGCCGGACCCGAAAGAAGGUGAACUAUGCCUGUAUAGGGUGAAGCCAGAGGAAACUCUGGUGGAGGCUCGCAGCGGUUCUGACGUGCAAAUCGAUCGUCAAAUAUGGGCAU
rnacentral:rRNA from 1 species